rnacentral:rRNA from 1 species
AGCAGCCGCGGUAAUUCCAGCUCCAAUAGCGUAUAUUAAAGUUGUUGCAGUUAAAAGCUCGUAGUUGAAUUUCGGGAUCAAUAUGUCGGUCGUGCCUUGGUACGUACUGGUAUCAUUGGUCUCUCCUUUCUGACGAACCAUGAUGUCAUUAAUUUGGUGUUAUGGGAAGUUAGGACUGUUACUUUGAAAAAUUGAGUGUUUAAAGCAGGCUUUAGCUUGAAUACAUUAGCAUGGAAUAAUGAAAUAGGACGUUCGAACCUAUUUUGUUGGUUUCUAGGAUCAACGUAAUGAUUAAUAGGGAUAGUUGGGGGCAUUAGUAUUCAAUUGUCAGAGGUGAAAUUCUUGGAUUUAUGAAGACUAACUACUGCGA